GAACAGUUGCCUGAGUGGUUUGCUAGCUUCCAACAAACAAGUCUCCUGUCUCACCGCUAAGCCUCUCCCUUGCUGAUGGUUGGCUUCUUAAGCCUGAGGUCUCCGAUGGGAAGCCUCCAUACUGGUCUCCAGAGAUGGUUAUAUUGACUUACAUUCCCUUCAGCCACGUAUAAAAGCCCUCUUUUCUGCCUUCUUGCCUGAUUCGUUAUGUACUGCUAGUGUGAUAAUUAUUCUGACAGGGGCGAGAUGCUGCCUCACUGUGGCUUUGAUUUGUCGAAAUCCUUGCAUUUGCAACAAGGAGGCAGCACCAGAGGACAUUGUGCUAAGUGAAAUAAGGCAGAAGGACAGAUGCUACUGUUCUCAUCCGUGCACGGAAGCUAUAAAGGAUGGGGUGUUUUGCCUGCAUGUAUGACUGAGCACCACGUGCAUGCCCGGUGCUGGCGGAGGUCAGAGAGGGUGUCGGUUCCCCUGGACGGGAGUUACAGAGGUUUUGAGCUGCCACGUGGGUGCUGGAAAUUUAACCCAGGUCCUCUGCAAGAGCAGCACACACCUUUAAGCACUGCUGAG